CAUCGCCAUCGCCAUCAUCAUCACCCACCAACUAACCGAGCAGCCAACAUUAUCGACAUUGCUGUUUACACAUUGAAUUCCAAAAGAAGAAAAAGGAAGGAAAUUCUUGCAACAAUAUCAUCCGUAAUUGUUGGUUGGAACAAAUUUCCCCUAUUUACGGACGGACAAUAGCCCUGUCUACUUUGUACCACAAAGAGACAUCCCUGCCCCAGACGAGGGUCCAGCUAAGAAAGAGAAACCGAAACGUUGGAACAAUGAACUGAUGGCGGAGGGCAAACUGCAGUACAACAACAAUUCGAGAAAAAGAAAAUCCAUUGAAAUGUAAUGGGUUUUUCAUGCAUAAUAAACAAGGAAAUCCAAGGUACUCCAUAGCAAUCCAUCCCUUUGUGCCUUUUUGUGGCAACCAAAGUUGCGUCAAUUGUUCGAAUUCUACGAAAUUGUGAAUGGAACAAUGAUGAAUCGAGCUGUAUAAUAUUCAAUGUCAUAUUGAUGAUGGAGAGUGGGGAUGAAUUGACGGCAAUGAUGUGGAGCCUACACACGAUGCUAACAUUGCCUUAGAUUGAAAGUUGGACCCAUAGACAUUAUGUACAAACCAUCGAAAUACAUUCAAAUCUUUCAUAAAAUUUUUCAAGUUUUUCUGCCUAUUAGGACGAAGAUCAUUUCUGCAAUGGAAUGUAAUUUUUGUAUUUCAAAAUCAUGUUCGCCAUUCUCCA